UUCAAAAUCGAAAAUGAAAGAACAAAUAGCGUUAGCAAUUUUAGCUGGGACCAUUAUUGAGGAAUUGAUUUUUCAUAAUAGAUACAGUUGGUGUAGAAAAUAUAUCAAAACCAAUUCAAACAAAUCAACUAGUUGACUUGGCAAAUUUUUACUACAAGUACCGCAAUCAUUAUCGAAGUUUAUUUUUAUAACUGCAAUCUUCAUUGUGGAAAAUCAUGGACACUUCUAAGAUAAUUUGAAUGCUCAUAAGUGGCUUUAUAGAAAUAGUUAUCAGCUAUAUGUACAGUCUACCAAUUCGUAAUAUGGGAGGAGCUGUACCAAACUACUGGGGUUUUAUCGAUGAAACUAUUAGAGAAAUUUGUUGACGAAGUAUCAUCAAGUUUGAAUGGAAGUCAAUCAAGUAUUUCUUUUUAUGUGAAACCACCAGUAUUGAAAGAUUAUUUUGUUUAACAGAAUUAUGUUAUGUAUUUUUGUACUUUUUACUA